CAUUAGGUUUUAGUUCUGUGGUUUCAGCAUGAUUUUUUUCAUGAUGUAUGACUCUAUUACUUAGUUGAUUGUGGGUUAGUUUUGCACUUCAGAUUUCUGUAGGUUGUCAGCAUAGUUUUUGUUCUCAGUACUAGUAGAUGGCUGCUGCAUCCAGUUGGGCAAGAAAGUAGCUGGGCUAGAUAAGAAAAGGUAGCUAGCUUCAGAAUGUGUAGAGAAUUUCCAUCCAAUAAUUUUAUUUCUGGCCAUUGGAAUCGAUUUCCUAUUCUUCUCGUGUAUGUACUGCUACUAGUGACAAAUGGUUUUGCACCUCCAGCUCAAAUUGAAGGAACGCAAUGCCUAGUAGUAGUUGUUGAUAGCAAAACAGAGUGCGGAACACAUGUGGGUUGCAAAUUAGCUUACAACUCUGUAAUCAAUCAAGAUUUGUAGCUGAUGUGCUAGAUCCAUCAAGACAAUAUGCACUGGUUAUCAACUGCAAAUGGAGAGAACUUCAAAUUCUGCAACCCAGGUUGAUUCAACCAAUGGAAUGCUGAGUUCAGAACCAUCACUAUCACCAGUGAUGACGAUCUCGGUCUGGAUGGUGCUCCAGGCGUUGCUGCUAAAGCGGGGAGGUUAAGUUUCAGAACUAGAUGGAACUAUUUCGCUGUUUCCAAUGAACUCGAAGCAGGUCUGGAUGUGAUGAUGAUGUUCUAUAUGACUUUUUCUCGCCAUGUCAAGAUGGAUUGAAUGGUCAUCCCCAGGUAUGACCCCCUAUACUGCAACCCUCAAUGUUACCUCAUUGGGACUGCAGAAUUUCACCAAUUCCAACGCCAGCUUGGGAUGGAGUUGGAGGGCAUGCGGCGUUUGCUUGCUAAAGAGGAUGGCCCGGUUUUUUUUAUGUGGCGUAUUGUCUUAGUGUGUAUUGGUCCUUUUUAGCUACAGGUUGUGUGGUUUCCCAUUUUCGUUUAGAAUGGUAACUCAACAUUGGACUGAUAACGAGAGACACAAAGAGCCGUUAGAACUCAAUGUUUUUGGGCUAGCAGAAAUGUGUCUGUUUUCUAAUUUGAGAACAGACGGUUUUUCUCAUUCAUUUUUCUGUAGUUUUGAGUCAUACAUCUGUCGUCUUACU